rnacentral:tRNA from 1 species
GCCGCGGUGGUGGAAUUGGCAGACACGCAGCGCUUAGGACGCUGUCCCGCAAGGGAUUGGAGGUUCAAAUCCUCCCCGCGGCA